AAAACGAGAAGAAACCAGUAGAGCUGAGAGGAUGUUCAGAGGAAGAGAGUGAAAUGAUGAGUUUCCUUCAGUGUCUGCCCUACAUCUCACAGCUGAGAAUCUCUCAUCUGAGUGAAAGGGUUCAAAAAAGGCUUCUUCUGGAACUCUUCAUUAAAGCAGCAGAGAUUGAGACACAGACAGGAGAGCAAAUGCUGAAACUGUUAACAUCUGGCUUUAUUUACAGCUUUUUCCCUUACAGAUGGACUUUCAGUACUGACUGGAGUGAUUUCCUGCUGAUUUUUUACUCACAUGUGAAGGACUAUGAGACUCAAACAGGCAGGAGUCUCCUUCCAGCAUUACAGUCAGUUUUCCAGUCAGCACCUGAUGUCUGGAUCAUAGAUCUCUCACAGAGAAAGAGCUCCGUCCUCCUGGAAGUACUGAAACUCCAAACAGAAGAAACCAGUAGAACUGAGAGGAUGUUCAGAGGAAGAGAGUGAAGUGAUGAGUUUACUUCAGUGUCUGCCCUACAUCUCACAGCUGAGGUUUUACCUUUGGAAUGGCAUUUCUGCAGCACAGUUUGUUCUGAAACUCUUCAUUAAAGCAGCAGAGAUUGAGAGACAGACAGGAGAGCAGAUGCUGAAACUGUUAUCAUCAGUCUGCACCUACAGCUCUUUUCCUUAUGAAAGGACAUACAGAAUUAAACAGAGUGAUUUUUUGCUUGAUCUUUGCUCACAUGUGAAGGACUAUGAGACUCAAACAGGCUGGAUUUUCCUUCCAGCAUUACAGAAAGUUUUCCAGUCAGCACCUGAUGUCUGGAUCAUAGAUUUCUCACAGAGAAAGAGCUCCGUCCUCCUGGAAGUACUGAAACUCCGAACAGAAAAUAAACCAGUAGAGCUAUUUGAAUGUUCAGAGGAAGAGAGUGAAAUGAUGAGUUUCCUUCAGUGUCUGCCCUACAUCUCACAGCUGAGGUACCUGAAAUUACAUUUUAAUUGUUGAUUUAACCCUCAGACACCCAAGCACUGAUUUGAAAAUGUCAUGCUAGAAAUGUUUCGAAGAAGCUAUUGAUAUAACAUAAAUAGUUCUAAAAAUGAAUUCGUUUUACAUAUGUUUUGCAUUGGGGUGUAAAAAUGUUGCAAAAUUGCAAUGCUGGGCAUUUAGGGUUGCAAUUGUACCAGUUUUUAAUAUAGCAAGUAAAAAUUUACAACACAAUUCAACAUACAAAUUUAUAUUAAAUAUAAUAUAUUACAUCCAGUAAGAAAUAAAUUCACUGAAGAAAUAUUA